UAACGAAUCUUCCGCAAUGCACGCAAGUGUGACGGAGCGACGCCGCGUGUGGGACGAAGUCCUUCGGGAUGUAAACCACUGUCAGGGGUUACCAAGUUCUGAGGAGCCCCAGAGGAAGGCACGGCUAACUCUGUGCCAGCAGCCGCGGUAAGACAGAGGUGCCAAGCGUUAGGCGGAAUCACUGGGCUUAAAGCGCGUGUAGGCGGACUUCUAAGUGUCUUGUGAAAUCCCACGGCUUAACCGUGGAACUGCUGGACAGACUGGGAGUCUUGAGCCGCCUAGGGGCUGCCGGAACAAACGGUGGAGCGGUGAAAUGCGUAGAUAUCGUUUGGAACGCCGAUGGUGAAAACAGGCAGCUGGGGGCGUGCUGACGCUGAGACGCGAAAGCCAGGGGAGCGAACGGGAUUAGAUACCCCUGUAGUCC
rnacentral:rRNA from 1 species